UCUUUACAAGAAAUAUAUUUUAUGUUUUAGCUUAUAAGUAUAUAAGAAAUAAAAAUAUAAGUUUGUUGCGCUGGGGCGGCGUAGAUAUAUAAAUAAACUGUCUAUAGUUUAAAUACAAUAAUUAUUGCUUAAUACAAAUUGAUCCUUAAAUAGAUUAAAAGAUUAAGAU
rnacentral:rRNA from 1 species